GGUUGAUCCUGCCAGUGAUCAUACUCUUCGUUUAGAGAUUAAGCCAUGCACGUCUAAGAACCUCGAGUUACUAGGGAGUCUGCGUAUGGCUCAUUAUAUGGUUUAUAACUUCCUGUAGCACAUUUAUCCAUCGGCACUUCCGAGGUAAUUCAUGGGCUAACCCUGCACGAAAGGUUGUUUCGUAAGGAGCAACUGCAUUUGUUAGUCUUCAAAUCAACAUAUUUUGAUGAAUCGUGACAAAUUGCGGAUCCUCAUGUUGUAAAAGACGGAGGACGACUACAAAAGGUUUACC
rnacentral:rRNA from 1 species